AACGAACGCUGGCGGCAUGCCUAACACAUGCAAGUCGAACGAACCCUUCGGGGUUAGUGGCGCACGGGUGCGUAACGCGUGGGGAUCUGCCCUUUGCCUCGGAAUAACAGUUAGAAAUGACUGCUAAAUACCGGAUGAUGUCGCAAGACCAAAGAUUUAUCGGGCAAAGGAUGAACCCGCGUAGGAUUAGCUAGUUGGUGGGGUAAAGGCCUACCAAGGCGACGAUCCAUAGCUGGUCUGAGAGGACGACCAGCCACACUGGGACUGAGACACGGCCCAGACUCCUACGGGAGGCAGCAGUGGGGGAAUAUUGCGCAAUGGGCGAAAGCC
rnacentral:rRNA from 1 species